AAAUUGAAGAGUUUGAUCAUGGCUCAGAUUGAACGCUGGCGGCAGGCCUAACACAUGCAAGUCGAACGGUAACAGGAAGGAGCUUGCUUCUUUGCUGACGAGUGGCGGACGGGUGAGUAAUGUCUGGGAAACUGCCUGAUGGAGGGGGAUAACUACUGGAAACGGUAGCUAAUACCGCAUAACGUCGCAAGACCAAAGAGGGGGACCUUCGGGCCUCUUGCCAUCGGAUGUGCCCAGAUGGGAUUAGCUUGUUGGUGGGGUAACGGCUCACCAAGGCGACGAUCCCUAGCUGGUCUGAGAGGAUGACCAGCCACACUGGAACUGAGACACGGUCCAGACUCCUACGGGAGGCAGCAGUGGGGAAUAUUGCACAAUGGGCGCAAGCCUGAUGCAGCCAUGCCGCGUGUAUGAAGAAGGCCUUCGGGUUGUAAAGUACUUUCAGCGGGGAGGAAGGGAGUAAAG
rnacentral:rRNA from 1 species